AUAUGGCGCUUUUAACGACACACACGUUUCGUCACAUACGGUUGGGUCCCACAAAAGGGUACCGUAUGGGGGGCGUGGAGGCAUAAC
rnacentral:sRNA from 1 species